GUUGUGAGUUGUUGGAUCAGGCGUUUAAAAAUAUUAACAGUGAUUUCGCAAAAAAAAAUGCACACGAACUCGCUAUCAUGCUGACCAACUGGGUAACGUUAAACGAAAUAUAAAACCGGAUGACGACAUCUCGCUGAAUCGUCAUAAUUCUCAAGGGUAUGAAAUCCGAAACAUCAUCUUCAUACGCACAGAAUUUCUUCCAUACGUACAACAGACAUUUUUACUAACCAAAAAUCUGAAGUGUUUUUUUAAUGAGUUAUGAUUAUCAUGGUAUACUGUUACAAACGACGCAAAGCUAUCAUUCAUGUUUAUUAGUUAUAUUGAAGGAUAUUGUUACCUGAUAAAAAGUGCAAUAAUGAUUACAUAGAACACUCGAAAAAUAUAUUUUAUUUCGGUAUAUUCGAUACCAUUAGGCAUCUACAUCUAUCUGUCCCGUACAAUCGUUGUAUAUUAUUUUAGGUAUGGCUUUAAAAUGUCGUAUUUUAUGUUAUUAGUUUGACUUUUCAGGGCAGUGUUAUAGAAAUAUUCAUACAAAAAUCGCACGUGAAUAUCCAUUGCACUGCGGGGCCUACAAAUCGAAUUGUAUAUUUAAAUGAAGCAUUAACCAAAAUUGGAAGUUACCGAUAACAUAACUGUAAUCGAGGUACUACAAUUAGAGAUCAUGACGUCAUACAGCGCACCGCUGCGACAACUUCGCCUUGAGACAGACUUUUAUCAGAAACGGACAAGCAUGGAUUAUAACUUGUGAACGAUUUUUGCGCACAGGGUAUCUACGCCAUAUACAAGAUCGUGAGUACGAACGAAGAGGCUGCCCCAUGUUCUAUCACAUAUUCCAGAACUGCGAAAGACAUUUGCGAACUCGAGGCGUCGACAACACUGCGAACGACAGGCUCGAACAGAUGAUGAGUGUGACUCAGGGGCGAAGUUCUUAUAAUAAAUUAACUAAUAUAGAAAUAAGAGAAAAAGGGGCUGCAGUUGUUGCAAUUCGAUAUGGUCGGUAUAUAAGAGUGAUAGAAAUGCUGAGAAACCAUCUCAUUUGGGAUCUGUACAUUCAUAUCAAUGCAAUGUAUGAAUAGAUCAGAUAUUUGCUUUGAUUGGAGAGGCCAAUUGAAGGCAUCAAUCAAAGACAAUGCCUGUAUUUACAGCCGACUAGUACUAGAUACUUUCGUAGGACAGUUAGUACAGAGAUAAAUCUGUUAUAUAUUUUUAGAGUUUAAUACAUCGGAACUUGUAUGAAGGUUCAAUCAAUAUAUGGCAUACUGCACAAGACAAAACCGAGAACACUAUUAAAAAAAAAAGAUUUUGCUUUGUAUUGAAGUACACUAGUUUAUCUCGUAACCAUAAAAUAGAUGCCCUGUAUUACCACACUUAAUGAUUAUAGUUUCCAGUCUCGAAGAUAGCAAUAAUGCGCAAUGUCAUAACUCAGUCUGUUAUCAAUAAAGCGACAUUUUCGAUGACUAUUUUACAGAUUGUGUUUUGUUCUUAUCUAUUCCCUCUUAAUGGAAACAGUAAUGGAAAAACCAGUCGGACAAAGUCAAUCACGGCAAUCGUAAACCGGCUGAUGUGGGAGCUUUCAAGUGACACACAACAAACUCGAUUGCAGAUUUUUGACAAUCUGGGAGCAUAGCUAUCAUCGACUGUUGGUCGAGCACAGAAAAUAGUUUUCAACAAGCGAUAUAAGUAUAGAAAGUAAUGCCGUGGUGGCUAACGUACUUCGUUACAUCUUACAUGGUAUCUUUGGAAGUUUCAAAAACGACCGAUACGAAUAAACUCUCAUGGAAUGUAAAGAAGUAUGUCUGCUACCACGGAAUAAACAGCCAAAAACAUUCGAGCAUUUGAUUGUUAAUCCAAACUAGGUAAUACUGAUAUUACAGUUAGAAUACACAUAUUAAUGGCGUCAUUUCAAUAUACUGUACCAAUUUUGUUCGGGUUUAUAGCUCUUUCAAAGGAGAUUCCGGAUUUAAUAAUUAGAGUAGUUCAAAAUAGUUAAAAUUGCAAAUAUCUUCAAAGUGGUAGGAUUCUGAUCUCACUUUUGUUCUUACCUACUUUAACAUAACACUUCCUGCACUCUCACUUAUUGUAAUAAUUACUAACUAUUAUAACUCACUGCUACUAGCACUAAUUACACUAACUGCAUGAUGCCUGACGAAAGCUGGUCAACCGGUACCAAAGCGAAACAAUAACCCUUGUGUUUUGGUCCCCUUCAACCAGCUGUUGCCUUGCACCGCUUUCUGCUCUCUCCAACUAAUCUUGCUAAGCCUCUUCUUUACCUAUAGCUGCUUGAUUAACAGAACAUGUCCAAUGUUUAUACUAUUUGUUCUUAUUUAUCAUGCUCUGCUUCCAAAUUAAUAAUUAAUAGCACUUUGCUCUUCUUCAAAGAAAAAUUCAAAGAUUAAAUACCAGAGCCGACAUCGCCAACGGUUGAUGCACUAUUUCUUGUAACACAAUUAUUACUAGUCAAAUUCAAAUAAUAUUAUGAAAAUAAUUUUUUUAUUCUUCUUCUCUUUCUAAGUUUUUUGAUAUUAUUUAAACGUUAUUGCGAAAUUUAUAUCUUGUUUUAAUAUUUUUACCAGUUUCUUGAAUGUUUUAGACUGAAGUUAUUAUUGAUUUUUCUCACGAGAAGUAUGUAUGUUGUGUAUCUAUUAUGACCUCGCAUUAUGGCAUUUUUGCUCUAAAUCCAAUUGAUUUAGAGCAUGAAUUGAUAAUUCAAUUGAAAAUGCAGGUACAUAAAAUUCCUACAUUAUAGUAAGCUGAACAUAGUUUGCGCUUAAAUUUGAAAAUAAUUAUUAUAAAGUUAUUAAUUCGAUGCGCCGCAUUUCUAAUAGAUUGAUGAGUUUACUAAAUCUGUUUGUUGAAAGUAUUUCCUUUUUUAUUUAAUUUGGGCAAUGCAGCAUUUUCAUUUUGAACAUUUCGAACUCCGUUGUAUGUAUUUAUACAUUCUGAUCUUAGGAGCGUACAUCCCCUACUUACGCAAUUAAAUAGUAUCAAGCUCUUUUAUAUUUUAAUGAGCGCUAUUCUUGAAGGCCAAAAAUAUUUGUUUAAAUGCCUUGAAUACUAUAUGUUCCUACUUCCUACCAUCAAAAGAUGCAUAUAUAAUUAAUCGUGAAGCGAUAUCUCUCCAGUUCAUUUACAAUUUGUCAUUUUCCUUUUUGAUUUACAUUACAGUACUAUUUAUAUCUUUUUUAACCACAUCACAAUAAAACGAAUGCAAAUAGAA